GCCUUCGUAGCUCAGGGGAUAGAGCACCGCUCUCCUAAAGCGGGUGUCGCAGGUUCGAAUCCUGCCGGGGGCACC
rnacentral:tRNA from 5 species